rnacentral:rRNA from 1 species
GCAAGUCGAGGGGUACAUAGAAGCUUGCUUUUAUGGAGACCGGCGCACGGGUGAGUAACACGUGAGAAUCUACCUUGAGGUGGGGGAUAGCCUAUGGAAACAUAGGGUAAUACCGCAUAUGACGGGAGUUGAAAGUCUUCGGACGCCUUAAGAUGAGCUUGCGGGUCAUCAGCUAGUGGGUGGGGUAAAGGCCUACCAAGGCUACGAUGACUAGCCGGCCUGAGAGGGUGAUC